rnacentral:rRNA from 1 species
CCAAUAGCGUAUAUUAAAGUUGUUGCAGUUAAAAAGCUCGUAGUUGAAUUUCAGGCCUGGCUGGACGGUCCGCCCUUCGGGUGAGUACUGUCUGUGGUCGGGUCCUACCUUCUGGCGAAGCGUCAUGGCCUUAACCGGCCGUGGCGGGGAACCAGGACUUUUACUGUGAAAAAAUUAGAGUGUUCAAAGCAGGCAAUCGCUUGGAUACAUUAGCAGGGAUAAAUGGAAUAGGACAAUGGUUCUAUUUGUUGGUUUCUAGGACCGUUGUAAUGAUUAAUAGGGAUAGUUGGGGGCAUUAGUAUUCAAUUGUCAGAGGUGAAAUUCUUGGAUUUAUUGAAGACUAACUACUGCGAAAGCAUUUGCCAAGGAUGUUUUCAUUAAUCAAGAACGAAAGUUAGGGGAUCGAAGACGAUCAGAUACCGUCGUAGUCUUAACCAUAAACUAUGCCGACUAGGGAUCGGAUGAUGUUAAUUUUUUAAUGACUCAUUCGGCGCCUUACG